rnacentral:rRNA from 1 species
AUGGCCGGCCGGCGCGAGCCCCCCCUGAUGCGCACCGGCUUGGGCAGCGGGCAGCCGCCGUCCCGCGGGUCCCGCAUCGCGGCGGCGGUGGCCGUCGGCGUUACUCUCGGCUGCGUCUGCGCGUUCCUCUACCCCGACGGCCUCAUCUCCCGCUCCACCGACUCCGCCCUCCACUGGCGUCGCCGGGCUGACUCAGUUACUUGUGAGACAUCGGAGGAAGUUACCAACCUACAGUCACAAUUGGCAUCAUUGGAGAGAAAAAAUGCUGACUUCAGGAAGCAGAUCAAUGAACUCUCGGUGAAGCUUCAAAUGGCUGGGCAAGGAAAAAACCAGGCUUUGUACAGUGCUGGUCCUUUUGGUACCGUGAAGGCUCUUAGAACAAAUCCAACAGUCAUGCCUGAUGAAUCCACCAAUCCCAGACUGGCCAAGAUAUUGCAACAGGUUGCUGUAAAGAAAGAAAUCAUCGUUGCAGUGGCAAACUCUAACGUGAAACAGACGCUUGAGAUGUGGUUUACUAAUAUCAAAAGAGUUGGAAUCACAAAUUACUUGGUUGUUGCAUUAGAUGACAGCAUAGAGAACUUCUGCAAGUCCAAAGAUGUCCCAGUUUAUCGGCGGGAUCCUGAUGAAGGCAUUGACAGCAUAGGGAAGACAGGUGGAAACCAUGCUGUUUCUGCCCUGAAGUUCCGCAUUUUGAGGGAAUUCUUGCAGCUUGGGUACAGUGUUCUCCUCUCCGAUAUUGAUAUCAUGUUCUUCCAAAAUCCCUUUGAUCAUCUUUACAGAGAUUCUGAUAUAGAGUCCAUGAGUGAUGGCCAUGACAAUAUGACAGCCUAUGGUUUCAAUGAUGUGUUUGAUGAGCCUUCAAUGGGCUGGGCAAGAUACGCACACACGAUGCGCAUAUGGGUUUUUAAUUCUGGAUUUUUCUUCAUAAGGCCAACAAUCCCUUCAAUUGAGCUCUUGGAUAGGGUAGCUGGUCGCCUUUCUCGUGAACCCAAAUCAUGGGACCAGGCUGUUUUUAACGAGGAACUCUUUUUCCCCUCGCAUCCUGGUUAUGUAGGUCUACAUGCAUCCAAAAGAACCAUGGAUAUAUAUCUCUUUAUGAACAGCAAAGUUCUCUUCAAGACUGUGAGGAAAAGUGCUCAACUUCGGAAGUUGAAGCCAGUGAUUGUGCAUUUGAACUACCAUCCUGAUAAGGAGGCGCGCAUGAAAGCAGUGAUUGAAUUUUAUGUUCAUGGAAAGCAGAAUGCACUUGAUCAUUUCCCUGAUGGAUCAGAAUGA